rnacentral:rRNA from 1 species
UACGGGGGGCUGCAGUGGGGAAUAUUGCACAAUGGGCGCAAGCCUGAUGCAGCGACGCCGCGUGAGGGAUGAAGGCCUUCGGGUUGUAAACCUCUUUCAGUAGGGAAGAAGCUGGCCUUUGGGUUGGUGACGGUACCUGCAGAAGAAGCGCCGGCUAACUACGUGCCAGCAGCCGCGGUAAUACGUAGGGCGCAAGCGUUAUCCGGAAUUAUUGGGCGUAAAGAGCUCGUAGGCGGUUUGUCGCGUCUGCCGUGAAAGUCCGGGGCUUAACUCCGGAUCUGCGGUGGGUACGGGCAGACUAGAGUGCAGUAGGGGAGACUGGAAUUCCUGGUGUAGCGGUGAAAUGCGCAGAUAUCAGGAGGAACACCGAUGGCGAAGGCAGGUCUCUGGGCUGUAACUGACGCU